CAUCAUCAUGAGGAGUCUAUACUCCUCGAGUAUCAUUAUCCGAAAAAGAAAUUACACUAUCUUGUCAUUACUUCUUGGAUGAUUCUUCUUCAAAAUUUGCCUCCCAAUCUCUUGAUCACUCGAAAAUCAUAUUGAUAACUCCUGCUGUUGGUCGAUUGUUAUUUACUUCCUUAGGUUGAAGCUGAGGUUGUUGGUCGGU
rnacentral:lncRNA from 1 species